UACCUGUGAUGAAAAGAUUCUGCCAAAUGAUUUCUCUUGAUUAUACUCCUUACCGUUCCAUUUAUUUCUGAGGCU
rnacentral:snoRNA from 1 species